GACGAACGCUGGCGGCGUGCUUAACACAUGCAAGUCGAACGGAAAGGCCCUGCUUGCAGGGUACUCGAGUGGCGAACGGGUGUGUAACACGUGGGUGAUCUGCCCUGCACUUCGGGAUAAGCCUGGGAAACUGGGUCUAAUACCGGAUAGGAGCCAUUUUUAGUGUGAUGGUUGGAAAGUUUUUUCGGUGUAGGAUGAGCUCGCGGCCUAUCAGCUUGUUGUUGGGGUAAUGGCCUACCAAGGCGGCGACGGGUAGCCGGCCUGAGAGGGUGGACGGCCACAUUGGGACUGAGAUACGGCCCAGACUCCUACGGGAGGCAGCAGUGGGGAAUAUUGCACAAUGGGCGCAAGCCUGAUGCAGCGACGCCGCGUGGGGGAUGACGGCCUUCGGGUUGUAAACUCCUUUCGCUAGGGACGAAGCUUUUUGUGACGGUACCUAGAUAAGAAGCACCGGCUAACUACGUG
rnacentral:rRNA from 1 species